rnacentral:rRNA from 1 species
AUUGAACGCUGGCGGCAGGCCUAACACAUGCAAGUCGAACGGUAGCACAGAGAGCUUGCUCUCGGGUGACGAGUGGCGGACGGGUGAGUAAUGUCUGGGAAACUGCCUGAUGGAGGGGGAUAACUACUGGAAACGGUAGCUAAUACCGCAUAACGUCGCAAGACCAAAGAGGGGGACCUUCGGGCCUCUUGCCAUCAGAUGUGCCCAGAGGGGAUUAGCUAGUAGGUGGGGUAAGGGCUCACCUAGGCGACGAUCCCGAGCUGGGCUGAGAGGAUGACCAGCCACACUGGAACUGAGACACGGUCCAGACUCCUACGGGAGUCAGCAGUGGGGAAUAUUGCACAAUGGGCGCAAGCCUGAUGCAGCCAUGCCGCGUGUAUGAAGAAGGCCUUCGGGUUGUAAAGUACUUUCAGCGGGGAGGAAGGUGCUGAGGUUAAUAACCUCAGCAAUUGACGUUACCCGCAGAAGAAGCACCGGCUAACUCCGUGCCAGCAGCCGCCGUAA